UAAUUUCAUAGGCAAACUGCUUGAAAAAGCAGGACGCAAAACUAGAGGGGCUUCCUCUUAUUUGAGAAGCUAGCCAGUUGCAUUC
rnacentral:ncRNA from 2 species